rnacentral:rRNA from 1 species
UACGUAGGGUCCGAGCGUUGUCCGGAAUUAUUGGGCGUAAAGGGCUCGUAGGCGGUUUGUCGCGUCGGGAGUGAAAACCUACAGCUUAACUGUGGGCUUGCUUUCGAUACGGGCAGACUUGAGGCAUGCAGGGGGAGAACGGAAUUCCUGGUGUAGCGGUGAAAUGCGCAGAUAUCAGGAGGAACACCGGUGGCGAAGGCGGUUCUCUGGGCAUGUUCUGACGCUGAGGAGCGAAAGUGUGGGGAGCGAACAGG